rnacentral:rRNA from 1 species
ACAUGCAGUCGUAACAAGGUAGCCGNNUUGCUAGGUGGAUUAGUGGCGAACGGGUGAGUAACACGUGAGUAACCUGCCCCUGACUCUGGGAUAAGCCUGAGAAAUUGGGUCUAAUACUGGAUAUGAACAUUUACCGCAUGGUGGGUGUUGGAAAGAUUUUUUGGUUGGGGAUGGACUCGCGGCCUAUCAGCUUGUUGGUGAGGUAGUGGCUCACCAAGGCGACGACGGGUAGCCGGCCUGAGAGGGUGACCGGCCACACUGGGACUGAGACACGGCCCAGACUCCUACGGGAGGCAGCAGUGGGGAAUAUUGCACAAUGGGCGAAAGCCUGAUGCAGCGACGCCGCGUGAGGGAUGACGGCCUUCGGGUUGUAAACCUCUUUCAGUAAGGAAGAAGCGAAAGUGACGGUACUUGCAGAAGAAGCGCCGGCUAACUACGUGCCAGCAGCCGCGGUAAUACGUAGGGCGCGAGCGUUAUCCGGAAUUAUUGGGCGUAAAGAGCUCGUAGGCGGUUUGUCGCGUCUGCCGUGAAAGUCCGGGGCUUAACUCCGGAUCUGCGGUGGGUACGGGCAGGCUAGAGUGCAGUAGGGGAGACUGGAAUUCCUGGUGUAGCGGUGAAAUGCGCAGAUAUCAGGAGGAACACCGAUGGCGAAGGCAGGUCUCUGGGCUGUAACUGACGCUGAGGAGCGAAAGCAUGGGUAGCGAACAGGAUUAGAUACCCUGGUAGUCCAUGCCGUAAACGUUGGGCACUAGGUGU